CUCUUUCCAGGAAAAAAAAAUCCUUCCUUUUUCCUUCAUCUUCUGUUCUCCUCUCUCCUGUACAUCUCCAUCGUUUAUUCUCUCCCCCAGUCUUCUCUCUCUCUCUCUCUCUAGAAAAUUCGGACGCCAUCUCGCCGGCUCAGUGGAAAUCGACCGCCAUUUCCAUCGUGUCUUCCAUCAUCCUCCUCUCCCUACCUAGUCUGUUCUAUCUCGCCUCCCUCGAUGGAAAAUUCGAACACCAUCUUGUCGGUCUCCAUGGAAAUCGGAAGCAGAAAGGCAGCAAGGAAGUGUAGUUGGGUCUGUUCUGGCUACGAGGGCUAAUUUAAUUGGUUAAUUGACAUUGUUCAAAAGAGAAGAAAUGCAGCCAAGGAGAAGAAGAUGAAAAAAUCUGGUCUUUUAGGGGAAGUGAAUAAGCAGCAGAGCUUGCAGGAAGAGGGAAGUUCUUCAAUUUUGCAACGUGUUUCUUUUCUUUUUUUUUUUGGGUUAAUGAAAAUCAAAAUCUCUGCAAAAAAAAUAAAAAAAUAAAAAAAAUAUUCUUAGCUAAUUUAUUGGGGUUAGAAAGUAAGAAAAGGUCAAUUUAUAUCGACAUAUUUAGCUCCCUUUGCUUCUACAAGUGGCUUUUAACUCCUUUUGUAUUCUUCAUAUAUGUGCUUCAUUAUCUAAACUUUUUUAGAUAAA